UACGUAUGUCACGAGCGUUAUCCGGAUUUAUUGGGCGUAAAGCGCGUCUAGGUGGUUAUAUAAGUCUGAUGUGAAAAUGCAGGGCUCAACUCUGUAUUGCGUUGGAAACUGUAUAACUAGAGUACUGGAGAGGUAAGCGGAACUACAAGUGUAGAGGUGAAAGUCGUAGAUAUUUGUAGGAAUGCCGAUGGGGAAGCCAGCUUACUGGACAGAUACUGACGCUGAAGCGCGAAAGCGUGGGUAGCAAACAGG
rnacentral:rRNA from 1 species